rnacentral:rRNA from 1 species
CAUGUCUUGAUGUUUAUAAUUAUAUUAAGUUUAUCCUGCUCAAUGAUAUAUAGUAUUAAAUAGCCGCAGUAUCUUGACUGUGCGAAGGUAGCAUAAUCAUUUGUCUUUUAAUUGAAGGCUUGUAUGAAUGGUUUGAUGAGGGAAUAACUUUCUUUAUAUUAUAUAAUUGAAUUUAAUAUUUAGGUUAAAAAGCUUAAAUUUAUAAAUGGGACGAGAAGACCCUAUAGAAUUUUAUAUUAUAUUUAAUAAAAAAAUUUAUGGUAGUUAUAUUUAUUUAUUAAAUAUAAUAUUUUGUUGGGGUGACAAUAAGAUUUAUUUAACUCUUAUAAUUAAUGGAUUACUUAUAAGUAUAAUUAAGAUCCUUUAUUAUGGAUAUUUAGAUUAAAUUACCUUAGGGAUAACAGCGUAAUUUCCUUGGAGAGUUCAUAAUCGAUGAGGGAG